AACCUGCCCCAGACUCUGGGAUAAGCACUGGAAACGGUGUCUAAUACCGGAUACGAACUUCCGCCGCAUGGUGAGGAGUUGGAAAGAAUUUUGGUCUGGGAUGGACUCGCGGCCUAUCAGCUAGUUGGUGAGGUAAUGGCUCACCAAGGCGACGACGGGUAGCCGGCCUGAGAGGGUGACCGGCCACACUGGGACUGAGACACGGCCCAGACUCCUACGGGAGGCAGCAGUGGGGAAUAUUGCACAAUGGGCGAAAGCCUGAUGCAGCAACGCCGCGUGAGG
rnacentral:rRNA from 1 species